rnacentral:misc_RNA from 1 species
GAAAGGGGGGCAACCCCCGAGUAGAGCGGCGAACGGGUGAGUAACGCGUGGGUGAUCUACCUCCGAGUGGGGAAUAACAGCGGGAAACUGCUGCUAAUACCGCAUGACAUCCUCGAGCCAAAUCGGGGAUCAAAGCCGGGGACCGAAAGGCCUGGCGCUUGGAGAUGAGCCCGCGUCCGAUUAGCUAGUAGGCGGGGUAACGGCCCGGCUAGGCGACGAUCGGUAGCCGGCCUGAGAGGGCGGACGGCCACAUUCUGUGUGAGACAGAACCCAGACUC